rnacentral:rRNA from 1 species
AUUGAACGCUGGCGGCAGGCCUAACACAUGCAAGUCGAGCGGGGUAUUCGGACCAGCGGCGGACGGGUGAGUAAUGCGUAGGAAGCUACCCGAUAGAGGGGGAUACCAGUUGGAAACGACUGUUAAUACCGCAUAAUGUUUACGGACCAAAGUGUGGGACCUUCGGGCCACAUGCUAUCGGAUGCGCCUACGUGGGAUUAGCUAGUUGGUGAGGUAAUGGCUCACUAAGGCGACGAGCCCUAGCUGGUUUGAGGGGAUGAUCAGCCACGCUGGAACUGAGACACGGUCCAGACUCCUAGUGGAGGCAGCAGUGGGGAAUAUGUGACAAUGGGCGCAAGCCUGAUCCAGCCAUGCCGCGUGUGUGAAGAAGGCCUUCGGGUUGUAAAGCACUUUCAGUAGGGAGGAAGGGUUAAGUGUUAAUAGUACUUAACUUUGACGUUACCUACAGAAGAAGCACCGGCUAACUCUGUGCCAGCCGCCGCAGUAAAAC